UUCCCUAUAUUCUGUAAUCUUGGGCUAUGCCCAACCACUUUUCAGUAAUGAAAAUUUAAUUUUUCAAAAAAAAAAAAAACCAAUGCUUCUCAUAUAUUUCCUUAGUCACACUUGACACUUUGGCUACUCGAGCUAGUUGAAUUGAGUGAUCUUCCACAUGAUCUAUUCUAAGUUUUAUUUUAAUAUGUUCAAGCUCUCCAACUACUCUCUGAGCUAAUUAGUCUUCCUUGAGCCAUUUUUUCAUCACAUUCACCCCAUCUGUUUGAGACUAGGACGGUAUAUGAUAGUCUUCAAGCCCAAAAUGGGUGUGACACCUACCAUGGUGGUGACGGAGAAUUAGAGUUUGAUUCUCGAGAGGGAGUCUGACAAACGGAUACCACAUCCAAGGAAGGUAGCAAACACACAAAUUACUUGAUUCUGACAUAGGGAGGUAGCAACAAUUAACAAUACUUGGCUCUUUAAUCAUGAACGAGAGUUUUGGGCUCGAGAACCAUCAUAUACUGUCCUAGUCUCAAUCAUAAGCAUUGGCAACCAAGGAUUGACAAAUGAUGUUUUAGGAUUCAAAGUUCUUGGGUCACGAGGGAAGUAUGGUUGCAAUUCUAAAACCUAAAGGAGUGAUACGUGCUCUGUCGAGGUAUCUCAACAAGUCUUAGACUCGAUUGCUAACCUAGAGGAGGACGAUUGUGAAGAGGAGUCAACGGCCAACACAACUGGUGUCGACUGGACUAUCAACA
rnacentral:rRNA from 1 species